UAGGCGUACGGGUGAGUAACACGUGGGUGAUCUACCUCUGGGUGUGGAAUAACGCUGGGAAACCGGCGCUAAUACCGCAUAAGCUCGGGAGAGGAAAGCAGCAAUGCGCCGAGAGAGGAGCCCGCGGCCGAUUAGCUAGUUGGUGAGGUAACGGCCCACCAAGGCUUAGAUCGGUAGCCGGCCUGAGAGGGCACACGGCCACACUGGCACUGAAACACGGGCCAG
rnacentral:rRNA from 1 species